rnacentral:tRNA from 1 species
GGCCAGGUAGCUCAGUAGAGCAUUGUCCUGAUACGCCAAGGUUGUGGGGUCCAUCCCUGGUCA